GGAUUAGAUACCCUAUUAUUUUUAUUAUAAAUUUAAAGAUUAAGCUUGAGUAUUAAUAGUUAUGAUCUUUAAACUUAAAGAAUUUGGCGGUAUUAUAAUCUGUUUAGAGGAAUCUGUUAUGUAAUUGAUAAUCCGCAUUGAACCUUACUUAUAUUAUUUCUUGUAUACCGCUGUUUAAGAGUAUAUUUUUAGAUAAUUUUCUGAAUAUUAGAAUUGUUAUAAUAUUUCAAGUCAAGGUGCAGUUAUAUAUAAGUUGAAUAAUGGAUUACAAUAAAUUUUAUUUAUUAUGAAUUAUUUAUUGAAAUAUAAUUUGAAGGUGGAUUUAAUUGUAAUUUUAUAAAGAUUGUUAAAAUGAUGGUGGCUCUAUAAUAUGUACACAUCGCCCGUCACUCUCGUUAUUAAAAUGAGAUAAGUC
rnacentral:rRNA from 1 species